rnacentral:rRNA from 1 species
UACAGAGGGGGCAAGCGUUGUUCGGAAUUACUGGGCGUAAAGGGCGCGUAGGCGGCCUUCUAAGUCGAACGUGAAAUCCCCGGGCUCAACCCGGGAACUGCGUCCGAGACUGAAAGGCUCGAAUCCGGGAGAGGGAUGUGGAAUUCCAGGUGUAGCGGUGAAAUGCGUAGAUAUCUGGAGGAACAUCGGUGGCGAGGCGGCAUCCUGGACCGGUAUUGACGCUGAGGCGCGAAAGCCAGGGGAGCAAACGGG